GUUACUCCCAGAGGGUAUUGCCAGGGACACCGCUUGGUGCCCCGCCCGCCUCAGGGCAGCCUCACCCCGGCUUUCCUGCCUUGCGAUUCUGGGAUACCUGUUUGCCUUCUGCCUGACUUCUAAAGUUGGAGUUCCUCAAGACUUGGGCUCUCAAGUUGUCACAGGGGUCCACCUUCAAACUCAGCUGACUGUUGGUCAAAGGAAGGUCCUGGUC